GCGAGAGUGGCGGAAUUGGUAGACGCACUGGAUUUAGGUUCCAGCGCCGCAAGGCGUGGGAGUUCGAGUCUCCCCUUUCGCACCA
rnacentral:tRNA from 3 species